CCUACGGGUGGCAGCAGUGGGGAAUAUUGGGCAAUGGGCGCAAGCCUGACCCAGCAACGCCGCGUGAAGGAAGAAGGCUUUCGGGUUGUAAACUUCUUUUGUCAGGGAAGAGUAGAAGACGGUACCUGACGAAUAAGCCACGGCUAACUACGUGCCAGCAGCCGCGGUAAUACGUAGGUGGCAAGCGUUGUCCGGAUUUACUGGGUGUAAAGGGCGUGUAGCCGGGUUGACAAGUCAGAUGUGAAAUCCUGCGGCUUAACCGAAGAACUGCAUUGGAAAAUGUGGAUCUUGAGUACUGGAGAGUCGGACGGAAUUCCUAGUGUAGCGGUGAAAUGCGUAGAUAUUAGGAGGCACACCAGUGGCGAAGGCGGUCUGCUGGACAGCAACUGACGGUGAGGCGCGAAAGCGUGGGGAGCAAACAGGAUUAGAUACCCCUGUAGUC
rnacentral:rRNA from 1 species